GCGAUGAUCUUCUUGAUGCUGGACCGACACUUGUACUCCGUUCCAGUUGUUCUGAUUUGUUUGGAAUCAUUGGUGAUGAUAUGGAUUUUACUAUUAGCACGCACUGGCGAAUUUAAGCGGUUGACUAAUUAGUAAACUGAUGACUAUCAACGUGAUAGUGGUCGGUAAUGAUAUUGAUAGUGAUAACGAUGAUGAUGAUGAUGAUGAUGAUGACGAAGAUUGAUAGAAAGCUCUUUGUCUGGUUCUUCUACUCUCACUCUAUCACCCUGGGCGCUUAUUCCAGUACGAUGACAACGAGCAAAUGCGCCGUAGACUGUGAAAAAUAUAAAAAUAAAUUUUUUUUAAGGACAAUUACAAUGUCACCGGUACGGGAAAUUCUAGCUCUCCAGUUAUGUUUCUUCUCUAUUGAUCGCAAGUUUCCAGACGCGCAGAUGCACUAUGUACUGUACACUUAAAUGUGUACAGAGGAAUACCAGAAAAUAUACGAGGAUUUUUACUGGAUGCUCCAAAUUGCCAGGGGAUACACUAUUUAUUAUUUUCUUACAUUUCUUAAAUUAUCUUUACACUCUUUCUUCUCAACUUUACUCCGUUUAUUUAUUUCUAUAAAAUCCACCUCCAGACUCGCUCUCAGAUAAAUUGUCUACAUAUAUUUUAAAAAGUCUGUAGAAAAAAAAAGA